GACGUAGGUGGCGAACGUUAUCCGGAAUUAUUGGGCGUAAAGGGUGCGUAGAUGGCCUGAUAAGUUAGCAGUGGGAAAUCGAGGCUCAACCUCGUGGAAGCUGGUAAUACUGUCAGGCUCGAGUGCAGGAGAGGUUAACGGAACUCCAUGUGGAGCGGUAAAAUGUGUAGAUAUAUGGAAGAACACCAAUAACGGCGAAGGCAGUUAACUAUUCUGUUACUGACAUUGAGGCACGAAAGCGUGGGGAGCAAAACGGG
rnacentral:rRNA from 1 species